GCACAAUUGCCUGGCUCCUCUGGCCAAAGGGUGCUCUGCUUCUGGCAGCUGAAGAUCCCAGUAGACAGCUUCUUAAACCAUGGCUUUCCCUGCAGGAUUUGGAUGGGCGGCAGCCACUGCAGCUUAUCAAGUAGAAGGAGGCUGGGAUGCAGAUGGAAAAGGCCCUUGUGUCUGGGACACAUUUACUCAUCAGGGAGGAGAGAGAGUUUUCAAGAACCAGACUGGCGAUGUAGCUUGUGGCAGCUACACUCUGUGGGAGGAAGAUUUGAAAUGUAUCAAACAGCUUGGAUUGACUCAUUACCGCUUCUCUCUUUCCUGGUCACGUCUGUUACCUGAUGGGACGACAGGUUUCAUCAACCAGAAAGGAAUUGAUUAUUACAACAAGAUCAUCGAUGAUUUGUUAAAAAAUGGGGUUACUCCCAUUGUGACCCUCUACCACUUUGAUUUGCCUCAGACUUUAGAAGACCAAGGAGGUUGGUUGUCAGAGGCAAUCAUUGAAUCCUUUGACAAAUAUGCUCAGUUUUGCUUCAGUACCUUUGGGGAUCGUGUCAAGCAGUGGAUCACCAUAAAUGAAGCUAAUGUUCUUUCUGUGAUGUCAUAUGACUUAGGUAUGUUUCCUCCGGGUAUCCCUCACUUUGGGACUGGAGGUUAUCAGGCAGCUCAUAAUUUGAUUAAGGCUCAUGCCAGAUCCUGGCACAGCUAUGAUUCCUUAUUUCGAAAAAAGCAGAAAGGUAUGGUGUCUCUAUCACUUUUUGCGGUCUGGUUGGAACCAGCAGAUCCCAACUCAGUGUCUGACCAGGAAGCUGCUAAAAGAGCCAUCACUUUCCAUCUGGAUUUAUUUGCUAAACCCAUAUUCAUCGAUGGUGAUUAUCCUGAAGUUGUCAAGUCUCAGAUUGCCUCCAUGAGUCAAAAGCAAGGCUAUCCAUCAUCGAGGCUUCCAGAAUUCACUGAAGAAGAGAAGAAAAUGAUCAAAGGCACUGCUGAUUUUUUUGCUGUGCAAUAUUAUACAACUCGCUUAAUCAAGUACCAGGAGAACAAGAAAGGAGAACUAGGUAUUCUCCAGGAUGCGGAAAUUGAAUUUUUUCCAGAUCCAUCUUGGAAAAAUGUGGAUUGGAUCUACGUGGUACCAUGGGGAGUAUGUAAACUACUGAAAUAUAUUAAGGAUACAUAUAAUAACCCUGUAAUUUACAUCACUGAGAAUGGGUUUCCCCAGAGUGACCCAGCGCCUCUUGAUGACACUCAACGCUGGGAGUAUUUCAGACAAACAUUUCAGGAACUGUUCAAAGCUAUCCAACUUGAUAAAGUCAAUCUUCAAGUAUAUUGUGCAUGGUCUCUUCUGGAUAACUUUGAGUGGAACCAGGGAUACAGCAGCCGGUUUGGUCUCUUCCACGUUGAUUUUGAAGACCCAGCUAGACCCCGAGUCCCUUACACAUCGGCCAAGGAAUAAGCCAAGAUCAUCCGAAACAAUGGCCUUGAAGCACAUCUGUAGGCAAGAUGGCUGAGAAAUACAGGAGAGGCGUCUGCUUUUGGAAAGGAAAUCUGCUUUGGUGAUGAUCUUUCAGGCAAUCUCAACUUACUUCUUUAAUCAACAUUUAAUAUCAAUGGAUCUGUGAUUAAAUGUCUGAAUAUGUAAUGCCUCGUGAAGUAUUUAAUAAUGGCCUUUAUUUGUAUUUGGAUCAAUGAGGUUUUUAAAAAAAAUGGAAGAGAAAACCACUAACCUUGAUUUUUGUAUUGCAAAAUCAGAUAGACCUGGAAACAUAAAUUUAAAUCCUUAGACAUUUUUCUAGAAAAAAAUGCAAAGUUUAUAAAGAUGAUACAACCAUGAUUUGCAACUGUAACAGGAGACCAUUUAUUAUAAGCGUACCUGUUUGUGAACUUAAUUAUUCUGAUUCCAUAAGCUGUUUUUGCUUAGGUGAUCCACUGCCAUGUGAUCCAUAAUUUUUCUACAUAAAAAAUCAAAGUUAAAAGUCACAUUAUACAGUUAUGCAUUCAUUUCAACAAAAUAGUGAAUUGAUAAUCUACUUGUUAAUAUAUUCGGCCCAUAUUUUGUGUGUUUGGACAAGUACAUCUCCCUUUUGCCUAAUGAACUUUUGAAAAAUAAUAAAAUAAUAGAAUAAAUUAGACUUUGAAUGGCA